ACUUGCACCAUGCCACCCUGAAAGUGCCUGAUUUCUUCUGAUCUUGGAAGCUAAGAAGGGUAAGGCCUGAUAAGUACUUGGAUGGGAGACCAUCUGGGAACACUGGGUGCUGUAGGCU
rnacentral:rRNA from 1 species